UUGUGGGACCCUGGUAGCCAGAAUCACUCAUGUGAGAUUUGUUCAUUCAUUCAACACACAGUUGUUACCCGCGAGGUAUUUCGCAAAAGACCGGUCCUGCCUCAGCUGCUGAGAGAGAUGUGAUUCCGGUCUGUGAGAACUUGCACCCUGGAGCUGACUGUCCUUACCGUCCUCUGUUCACUCUUUCCACAAAGAAAGAGACAAGCUGUCACAUUCAGUGAGUGGGACCCAGUGGAACCCAGUUCCAGGUGGCUAGACAUGAGAUGAACAGGAGAGAGAAGAUUGCUGACCUGCAGUAAGAUGGGAGACAGCAUUUCCCAGGGUCUGAGAACAAAGGCUCUCAUUCUCGAAGGCUUGGGUUUGAUUUCAGCCCUCACACUCACCAGCUGUGUGUCUGUCGCCUGGAUACAUGGCCAAGCCUGUUUGUGUCAUAGCUAUCCCAUCCAUAAACAGAAGAGCGCCUACCUAUUCGCUUGGUCAUGAGCAUUACAUGACUUAGGAUGUGGAGCUGCUCGAUUAUUCAUAAUAUCAAAUGGCCCUUCUCUCAUUCCCUUGUUCACCCUGUUCUACUCUCAGCCACGGACGAACCCACUUCUCUGGAGAAUGUUGUGGAAAGCCAGACAAAUCCAAGGAAAGACUCUGCCUCUUUGGUGAUGCUUGUAUGCAGACACAAAGACGAAUUCCACUCUGGGGUAGAGGUGGGAGAGACACCCCGACAUACUGCUUACUGUUCUCAUUAUUUUAACACGCAGUGAGAAAGCAUAAUGCAUUGAACACAUUAGUGUUUAGGCACCAUGGAGAAAAUGCCACGCGGUUGUAUUUUGAAUAAGCAGGUUCUACCAAGUUAGUACUUUCCUUGUGUCUCUGGGUUUCUCAACCAUUGAGUCAUUGAGGAGUUGUGGCAUUUUAUUCUCUUCAAUUCAUGGGACACUGGUAGAAUGGAUACUUAGUUUGAUGUUCCUCUCCUCUUCCACCCAGUGUCUCUCCACAUGGCUUUCCAUUAUGACCCUAAGUGAAGUUCUGAUGGAGUUGUAGCUAUUCAUCUGUUCAGGGAAUUCUUGGAACCUUUCCUGGAAGUCUUCAUUUGAUUUUCAUUGGCCUUGCUGUGGAUCCUAACCCUACUCAAUGUCUACACUCUGCAAAGAAGUAUACAGCAAUAGAUUCACCCCAACCUUGACCCUCUGUGCCUUUUCUCUGGUCCACAUCCCAGUCAUGGUGUCUUCCUGCUUCCUACAGUAGGCACAAGCUGUCUGGUUACUAUGGCUCUUGUUAAAGUUCUUUGUCAACCUAGAGUGUGGAUUUGUGUGUUUUUGACUCUUCCUCAUAUUGGGUUUUUCUCAUUCAUGUACUGGGAGUGUCUUAAUGCGUCAUAAUAAAAUUGAAACAUGAUUUUCUCAA